GCUGGCGGCGUGCUUAACACAUGCAAGUCGAACGAACCUUCGGGUUAGUGGCGGACGGGUGAGUAACGCGUGAGAAUCUGCCCUCAGGAGGGGGAUAACGGUUGGAAACGACCGCUAAUACCCCAUAUGCCUAUUGGUGAAAUGAAUUUCGCCUGAGGAUGAGCUCGCGUCUGAUUAGCUAGUUGGUGGGGUAAUGGCCUACCAAGGCUUCGAUCAGUAGCUGGUCUGAGAGGAUGAUCAGCCACACUGGGACUGAGACACGGCCCAGACUCCUACGGGAGGCAGCAGUGGGGAAUUUUCCGCAAUGGGCGAAAGCCUGACGGAGCAACGCCGCGUGAGGGACGAAGGCCUCUGGGCUGUAAACCUCUUUUCUCAAGGAAGAAGAUAUGACGGUACUUGAGGAAUAAGCCACGGCUAAUUCCGUGCCAGCAGCCGCGGUAAUACGGGAGUGGCAAGCGUUAUCCGGAAUUAUUGGGCGUAAAGCGUCCGCAGGCGGCCUUUCAAGUCUGCUGUUAAAACGUGGAGCUUAACUCCAUCAUGGCAGUGGAAACUGAUAGGCUUGAGUAUGGUAGGGGCAGAGGGAAUUCCCGGUGUAGCGGUGAAAUGCGUAGAUAUCGGGAAGAACACCAGUGGCGAAGGCGCUCUGCUGGGCCAUUACUGACGCUCAUGGACGAAAGCCAGGGGAGCGAAAGGGAUUAGAUACCCCUGUAGUCCUGGCCGUAAACGAUGAACACUAGGUGUCGGGGGAAUCGACCCCUUCGGUGUCGUAGCUAACGCGUUAAGUGUUCCGCCUGGGGAGUACGCAC
rnacentral:rRNA from 1 species